rnacentral:lncRNA from 1 species
ACUGGACAUUUCAAAAUUAAAACCAAUUGGAAAUCAAAGCUAAGGUUUCAGGCAUUACAUCAAGCAGCUGUUGUUCAAUGAAACAGUAACUUUGAAGUUACCAAAUGAUAUUAACGUGCUGCAGCCAAUUCUCUUAAAAAAAAUUCAGCACCUGAACAGAUCUGGUUUUGGUUGGCCAAAAUUUUAAACACCUGAGCUCAUCUCAUAUCAAUUCACUGCUCUUAAUCGGUGUAG